GAUGAACGCUGGCGGCGUGCCUAAUACAUGCAAGUCGAGCGAACGGACGAGAAGCUUGCUUCUCUGAUGUUAGCGGCGGACGGGUGAGUAACACGUGGAUAACCUACCUAUAAGACGGGGAGAACUUCGGGAAACCGGAGCUAAUACCGGAGAAUAUUUUGAACCGCAUGGUUCAAAAGUGAAAGACGGUCUUGCUGUCACUUAUAGAUGGAUCCGCGCUGCAUUAGCUAGUUGGUAAGGUAACGGCUUACCAAGGCAACGAUGCAUAGCCGACCUGAGAGGGUGAUCAGCCACACUGGAACUGAGACACGGUCCAGACUCCUACGGGAGGCAGCAGUAGGGAAUCUUCCGCAAUGGGCGAAAGCCUGACGGAGCAACGCCGCGUGAGUGAUGAAGGUCUUCGGAUCGUAAAACUCUGUUAUUAGGGAAGAACAUAUGUGUAAGUAACUGUGCACAUCUUGACGGUACCUAAUCAGAAAGCCACGGCUAACUACGUG
rnacentral:rRNA from 1 species